UUUUUUUUUUCUUCUCCUCUCUUCCUCCCACCAUUGGAGUCCCAUCUUCAAGAAGCCUGAAAUCACUCACUCAUGGAUAUACAUCAAAUCAGCAUAUAUAUCAUGAAAUAUUUCAGUUCAAGAAAGGAAGAAUGGAUGUAGAGGUGACAGAUUAUUCAGGGACGGGUGCUAAUA